GAAAGACCAUCUUAGCUCUAAACUUAACAAAAUAUUUAAAAAUAUGUUCCAUGGCCCUAGUUAUUGAAUACUGUAUAAACACUUUCUGGCAGAAAAGUUUGUUUAUCUAGGAUUGCUAGGAUUAUUGCACAAGUUAAUUGCGCUUUAUCUGCUUAAUUAUAAAUUAUAGCGUGCACAAUUCAAAAAUAAAUCUUCUUGGAGGGGGUAGGAUCAUUCUGUUUUUUUGAGUACGUUUUAUAUUUCUAAAUUUAGCAGGUUGGAAUGUUGUUGAGACGGAAUCAGGUGAACUUUUUUCCAACUAUAUGAGAGAGGCUAGUUGGUUAAACAGUCACUUGAAAAUGGUGAGACGGGGUCAGGAUAUCUACAUUACUAUUUUCUUCUCUGUUAAACUUUGUUCAAUUAAUUUAUCGGGUAAUGGGAACAGAUGAAGACCGAAGCGGACAUAGCUUAUAAGUUAUGGGUUCAGGAACUAAUAAACUUCAAAUCCUAGAUAUGUCUUGGACGAAGAAGCCCUUGAAGGGAGACCAGACUAACAAGAGGAAUUGAUCACCAGAGAAUGUUUGGUUCACAAGAGGUCAGUGUCAGUUCAUGGGUGCUGCAUCUUAUUUCCCAAGGUUUUUUUAUUUGCUCCCUACUGUGAAAAGUGAUGUAAAAGAUUUCAUUUCAUUUGUAUUCACAUUAAACCAAGAAACUAGUAAGCAUUUGUGCUCUUUCUAAAGACUCUACUUAAACAUCUAAAGAAUUUCACAUAUGUUUUUUGA